UACGUAGGGAGCGAGCGUUGUCCGGAAUUACUGGGCGUAAAGGGCGCGUAGGCGGUUGUUCAAGUCACAUGUGAAAUACCCGGGCUCAACCUGGGGGGUGCAUGUGAAACUGGAUAACUUGAGUGUGGUAGAGGAAAGUGGAAUUCCUAGUGUAGCGGUGAAAUGCGUAGAUAUUAGGAGGAACACCAGUGGCGAAGGCGACUUUCUGGGCCACAACUGACGCUGAGGCGCGAAAGCGUGGGGAGCAAACAGGAUUAGAUACCCUGGUAGUCCACGCUGUAAACGAUGAAUGCUAGGUGUAGGAGGUAUCGACCCCUUCUGUGCCGCAGCUAACGCAAUAAGCAUUCCGCCUGGGGAGUACGGCCGCAAGGUUGAA
rnacentral:rRNA from 1 species